rnacentral:lncRNA from 1 species
CACAGCCCUCUGGAGGUCCUGAGAACAUGUACCCAAGGUGAUCAUGUACCCAAGAGACGAGUAACGAUUGACCUUGAUGGCUUGGUGGGCGUGCAGCACAGAGAACGGUGGCCACACGGUGGGGAGUGGCCACGAGGAAGCGGCUCAGGAGUGACCGUGACGAAACGGCUCAGGAGCGGGGGCCCUGCCCCCAGGAGCUGUGACUCCCACACUCUCACCUCCGGGACUCUCGGCGCCCUUGGCCCACAAGCUCUCCUUGCUCCCUCCGGGGCUGGGCCUUCCUGGGGCUUGUUGGAAGGAGCCCAGAGUCUCCCCAGGGGCCUCCCAGGGGCUCCCAGGGCAGAGGCCUGCAGUGGGAAGGGGCUGGCACCCUUCACAUCGCUCCUCGCUUGCCACAGCCCUGGAGCAGCUGCCCCGCCGCGCCCAGCCAUGGCUGCCCAGUCCUGCUGGAACACCAGGAGUCACACCUUGCCAGGGCUACUGACAGGGGGUGCCCUCGGGGCCGCCGCGGCUUUGGGUGGCGGCCCCAUCCUCUGAGAGCAGUCCAGGACCGACCACCCUGUCUUGGAGGCGGGGCCUCACCUGGCCUGUUUGCGCCAGGGCUUGACAGGCAGCCCCCUCCGGCUCCAGCAGGCCUUGGGUCCAGGCCACCUUGAAUGCUGACUCUCGGCCGUGCCUGGUUCCAGGACUGGCUUUUUGGA